rnacentral:rRNA from 2 species
GAUUAGCUUGUUGGUGAGGUAACGGCUCACCAAGGCGACGAUCCCUAGCUGGUCUGAGAGGAUGACCAGCCACACUGGAACUGAGACACGGUCCAGACUCCUACGGGAGGCAGCAGUGGGGAAUAUUGCACAAUGGGCGCAAGCCUGAUGCAGCCAUGCCGCGUGUAUGAAGAAGGCCUUCGGGUUGUAAAGUACUUUCAGCGGGGAGGAAGGUGUUGUGGUUAAUAACCGCAGCAAUUGACGUUACCCGCAGAAGAAGCACCGGCUAACUCCGUGCCAGCAGCCGCGGUAAUACGGAGGGUGCAAGCGUUAAUCGGAAUUACUGGGCGUAAAGCGCACGCAGGCGGUCUGUCAAGUCGGAUGUGAAAUCCCCGGGCUCAACCUGGGAACUGCAUUCGAAACUGGCAGGCUUGAGUCUUGUAGAGGGGGGUAGAAUUCCAGGUGUAGCGGUGAAAUGCGUAGAGAUCUGGAGGAAUACCGGUGGCGAAGGCGGCCCCCUGGACAAAGACUGACGCUCAGGUGCGAAAGCGUGGGGAGCAAACAGGAUUAGAUACCCUGGUAGUCCACGCCGUAAACGAUGUCUACUUGGAGGUUGUGCCCUUGAGGCGUGGCUUCCGGAGCUAACGCGUUAAGUAGACCGCCUGGGGAGUACGGCCGCAAGGUUAAAACUCAAAUGAAUUGACGGGGGCCCGCACAAGCGGUGGAGCAUGUGGUUUAAUUCGAUGCAACGCGAAGAACCUUACCUGGUCUUGACAUCCACGGAAGUUUUCAGAGAUGAGAAUGUGCCUUCGGGAACCGUGAGACAGGUGCUGCAUGGCUGUCGUCAGCUCGUGUUGUGAAAUGUUGGGUUAAGUCCCGCAACGAGCGCAACCCUUAUCCUUUGUUGCCAGCGAUUAGGUCGGGAACUCAAAGGAGACUGCCAGUGAU